rnacentral:rRNA from 1 species
UGGGGAAUAUUGCACAAUGGGCGCAAGCCUGAUGCAGCCAUGCCGCGUGUGUGAAGAAGGCCUUCGGGUUGUAAAGCACUUUCAGCGAGGAGGAAGGUGGUGAGCUUAAUACGCUCAUCAAUUGACGUUACUCGCAGAAGAAGCACCGGCUAACUCCGUGCCAGCAGCCGCGGUAAUACGGAGGGUGCAAGCGUUAAUCGGAAUUACUGGGCGUAAAGCGCACGCAGGCGGUUUGUUAAGUCAGAUGUGAAAUCCCCCGGGCUCAACCUGGGAACUGCAUUUGAAACUGGCAAGCUAGAGUCUCGUAGAGGGGGGUAGAAAUUCCAGGUGUAGCGGUGAAAUGCGUAGAGAUCUGGAGGAAUACCGGUGGCGAAGGCGGCCCCCUGGACGAAGACUGACGCUCAGGUGCGAAAGCGUGGGGCAGCAAACAGGAUUAGAUACCCUGGUAGUCCA